rnacentral:rRNA from 1 species
GACGAACGCUGGCGGCGUGCCUAACACAUGCAAGUCGAACGAGAAUCUUUGAACAGAUCUUUUCGGAGUGACGUUCAAAGAGGAAAGUGGCGGACGGGCGAGUAACGCGUGAGUAACCUGCCCAUAAGAGGGGGAUAAUCCAUGGAAACGUGGACUAAUACCGCAUAUUGUAGUUAAGUUGCAUGACUUGAUUAUGAAAGAUUUAUCGCUUAUGGAUGGACUCGCGUCAGAUUAGAUAGUUGGUGAGGUAACGGCUCACCAAGUCAACGAUCUGUAGCCGGACUGAGAGGUUGAUCGGCCGCAUUGGGACUGAGACACGGCCCAGACUCCUACGGGAGGCAGCAGUGGGGAAUAUUGCGCAAUGGGGGCAACCC